rnacentral:rRNA from 1 species
UACGGGGGAGCAAGCGUUGUUCGGAUUUACUGGGCGUAAAGGGCGCGUAGGCGGCGUGACAAGUCACUUGUGAAAUCUCCGGGGCUUAACUCGGAACGGUCAAGUGAUACUGUCGUGCUAGAGUACAGAAGGGGCAACUGGAAUUCUCGGUGUAGCGGUGAAAUGCGUAGAUAUCGAGAGGAACACCGUGCGGCGAAGGCGGGUUGCUGGGCUGAUACUGACGCUGAGGCGCGAAAGCUAGGGAGCGAACGGG